rnacentral:rRNA from 1 species
GAUGAACGCUGGCGGCGUGCUUAACACAUGCAAGUCGAACGAAGACAUCUGAGUGCUUGCACUUGGAUGGACUGAGUGGCGGACGGGUGAGUAACGCGUGGGUAACCUGCCUUAUACAGGGGGAUAACAGUUGGAAACGACUGCUAAUACCGCAUAAGCGCACGGUAUCGCAUGAUACAGUGUGAAAAACUCCGGUGGUAUAAGAUGGACCCGCGUCUGAUUAGCUUGUUGGUGAGGUAACGGCCCACCAAGGCGACGAUCAGUAGCCGGCCUGAGAGGGUGAACGGCCACAUUGGGACUGAGACACGGCCCAAACUCCUACGGGAGGCAGCAGUGGGGAAUAUUGCACAAUGGGGGAAACCCUGAUGCAGCGACGCCGCGUGAGUGAUGAAGUAUUUCGGUAUGUAAACUCCUAGUUGUUGAGGAAGAUAAUGAACGGUACUCGAACAAGGAAGUGACGGCUAACUACGUG